rnacentral:rRNA from 1 species
CGCCCAACAGCUAGCCCAUUUUAAUAAAAACAACCUACCAACAUAAAUAAACCCUAAUGCACUACAAAUUAUUAAACAAACCAUUUUCCCACCUCAGUAUAGGAGAUAGAAAAGGACACAAG